rnacentral:rRNA from 1 species
GACGAACGCUGGCGGCGUGCUUAACACAUGCAAGUCGAACGAUGAACUUGGAGCUUGCUCUGGGGGAUUAGUGGGGAACGGGGGAGUAACACGUGAGUAACCUGCCCUGGACUCUGGGAUAACUUCGAGAAAUCGGAGCUAAGACCGGAUAGGAUCUUGUACCGCAUGGUGUGGGGUGGAAAGUUUGUCGGUUUGGGAUGGACUCGCGGCCUAUCAGCUUGUUGGUGAGGUAAUGGUGCACCAAGGCGUAGACGGGUAGCCGGCCUGAGAGGGUGCCCGGCCACACGGGGCCUGAGACACGGCCCAGACUCCUACGGGAGGCAGCAGUGGGGAAUAUUGCACAAUGGGCGCAAGCCUGAUGCAGCAACGCCGCGUGCGGGAUGACGGCCUUCGGGUUGUAAACCGCUUUUAGUAGGGAAGAAGCCUUCGGGUGACGGUACCUGCAGAAAAAGGACCGGCUAACUACGUGCCAGCCGCCGCGGUAAGAC